UACGUAGGGGGCGAGCGUUGUCCGGAUUUAUUGGGCGUAAAGCGCGCGUAGGCGGCUUCGCAAGUCGGCCGUGAAAGCGCCAGGCUUAACCUGGCGAGGUCGGGCGAGACUGCGGGGCUCGAGGCAGGCAGAGGGCGGUGGAAUUCUCGGUGUAGCGGUGAAAUGCGUAGAUAUCGAGAGGAACACCUGCGGCGAAGGCGGGUUGCUGGGCCGACACUGACGCUGAGGAGCGAAAGCGUGGGGAGCGAACAGG
rnacentral:rRNA from 1 species